GGGAGAGUGACAUUGUUUCUGUACGGUAGCAGCGUGCAGUAGGGAGUUGCAGGGGGCUGGAAUAGGCAUGCAGUAGCGCUUGAAGAUGUCCUGUCAAUCAGCGGUUCCGGGAGGUCGAGAAAGCGUCCCUGUGGAAGUAAUGUUUGAACCUAGGCCUGAAGGUUGAGUAGGCUAAACAAAGGCUGGAAGGAGGAGUGUUGUAAGAACUGAAAAGAAAAAAGAUGCACAAUUACUGGGCACUGCUGUCAUCUUCUUUGAAGCCUCCAUGCCGUGAGAGCCAAUGCACAGGUGCAAAUGCACAGGCUAAAGGGCAGAAGAAGAAAGACGAGGCAGAGAUCCAGGUGAACUGCUAGCUUGUAUUCCAUGGAAGCCACAGGAGCAGAAAUAAAGAAUGCCAGAAGCCAGGGUGCCAGUACAAAUUGCUGGACUGUAUGCUACUAUCUAGAACCUUGCAUCUGUGACAUUCGGGACUAGUUUCUAUUCUUAGUUUGGCUGAAUGUUACACAUGUACAAUAAAUCAUCCCUUCUGUCUCAGCUGAAAAAAAAAAUGGGAUGGGAAAGGUUUUAAAAGUCAUCUAAAAUUUUGGAUUAAUAACUUUAAACCUAAUGUCUCCAGAAACAAAAGUCCAGUACCUCUUCAAUCACUCUCCGAUGCUGCCAGGCCCUUCUAGAUGGACUUGUCUGCAUUUAGUUUGCUUUCAGCUGGAACCAGACAUGAUUUAGCCCUAACCUGAGGAGGCCUCUCUAACCAUCCUGCCUGGUACUGGAGCAGCACCCUUCUCUGUGUUGACAUGGUAGAAUACUCAUCACUAUGGAAUUAGCUUCCUUCCUGGAACAAUGUCUCAAAGGUGGUUACUGUUUUCAAAGACUGUUUUUAAAGGUUACUCCCAGGAAUUCCAUUCCCACCAAGAGUGCCUCAAGUACCAGACAAGUACCAUUUUAUCAGCUCUCCUUUGACACAUUUCCAUUAGUCUAACCAUGAAAUCAUUUUGCCCACUAUAAAGCCACAGAAUCUACCUUAAAGAGUCAGCUGACAGCCCUCAGUAAAACAUAGUUGAAUUUCUCAGGUAAGUUAUCGGGGUGGGGGGGGAGUUCCUUUAGCCCUGCUCACCUCAUCCAUGGACCCCUGUCCUUUGCAAGCAAGCCAGGUGAAGACCAAGCCAAAGAACACUCCCAGUGCCAUGACGAUAUAGGGUAUGUUGGUGAUAAUCAACGUGGUGUUGACCAUAGACUUCAGUCGACCUGCAUUCUCUUUAUCAAUGAGAACACUCUAGGAAGGAAAGAAAAUAGUAUUCCCUUUAAUAAAUAAUCUGGGUGUAAAGUUUUUUGUGACAUCUUUUUUCUACAUCUUUUUUUCAAAUCAUUAAACACAAUUUGAAUAUGCUUUCCUUCUAGAAAACUAUAGAUGCAAAAAGAGUCCAUUUAUAUAUUAAAGACCCAGAAUGGGUACUUAUUCAUUAACAUCUUUCCUUUUCUCCUGAAGACAUGUUUUAUUCUUGAAAUAGUGUGCAAUAAAGAGAGGGGAAGUAUUUAGACACACUGAGUAAUAACAUUUGUAUUAGGCAAUUCCAACUCAUCUUUUAAAAUCCAGUUCAGCAUAACUGACUUCCAGAAAUUUUCUCCAGCCACCUCAAGCCUGCUCAAAACUCUGUUAUCUGUGCUUCAUCUCACUGUCUUUACACUCUGCAUUCUGUUUACCCACUGGUCUUCUAGUAAGGUCCCUUAAGACAAGUGUCUUAUGUCAGUCACCUCAACACUGGGUAUAGCACCCUGCACACAGUAGGUGCUCAGUUAACACUAAUUGAUUAAAUGAGUAAAUUAAUGAAACAU